GAUCGAGUUUGAUCCUGGCUCAGGAUGAACGCUAGCGGCAGGCUAACACAUGCAAGUCGAGGGGUAGAGUUAGCUUGCUAACUUGAGACCGGCGCACGGGUGCGUAACGCGUAUGCAAUCUACCUUAUACAGAGGGAUAGCCCAGAGAAAUUUGGAUUAAUACCUCAUAGUGUUAUUGAAUGGCAUCAUUUACUAACUAAAGUUCCAACGGUAUAAGAUGAGCAUGCGUCCUAUUAGCUAGAUGGUAAGGUAACGGCUUACCAUGGCUACGAUAGGUAGGGGUCCUGAGAGGGACGACUCCCCACACUGGGUACUGAGACACGGACCAGACUCCGUACGGGAGGCAGCAGUGAGGAAUA
rnacentral:rRNA from 1 species